rnacentral:sRNA from 1 species
UGAAUGGCUUAGUGAGGUCUCCGGAUUGGCCUCGGGGAGCCGGCAACGGCACCCCUUGGCUGAGAAGUUGAUCAAACUUGGUCAUUUAGAGGAAGUAAAAGUCGUAACAAGGUUUCCGUAGGUGAACCUGCGGAAGGAUCAUUAUCGAUUCAACCCAAAUGAGAGGGGAGUUGCUUGUAGUUGUGCUGGUGUUCAAUUGAAUGCAUGUGCACGCUCAGCUUCUUCCUUUCUUCAUUUACACACCUGUGAACUUGUUGUAGGGUAUCUCUAAGAUGCUCUAUGUCUUUUUCAUAUACACCAUUAUAUGUUUUAGAAUGUAUCUUUUGUUCUCAUUAGAGACAAAAUAAAAUCUUUAUAACUUUCAGCAACGGAUCUCUUGGCUCUCGCAUCGAUGAAGAACGCAGCGAAUUGCGAUAUGUAAUGUGAAUUGCAGAUUUUCAGUGAAUCAUCGAAUCUUUGAACGCACCUUGCGCUCCUUGGUAUUCCGAGGAGCAUGCCUGUUUGAGUGUCAUUAAAUUCUCAACUCUCUUUGAUUUCUUCAAAGAUGAGCUUGGAAUAUGGAGGUAUGCUGGCUGCAAAAUCAGCUCCUCUGAAAAGCAUUGGCAAAAGCAUGUGCAUGAAUUGGCCUUUCGGUGUGAUAAUGAUCACCGUGGCUGGAUUGCUAUAAUGCUAUGCCCAACCUUUUCCAUUUACAUGGGAAAAACCACUUGACUAUUUGACCUCAAAUCAGGUAGGACUACCCGCUGAACUUAAGCUUAUCAAUAAGC